rnacentral:rRNA from 1 species
AAUCAACGCUGGCGGCGUGCCUCAGACAUGCAAGUCGAACGAUUAAAGCUCUCUUCGGAGAGUGUAUAGAGUGGCGCACGGGUGAGUAACACGUAAGUAAUCUACCUUCGAGUGGGGAAUAACGUCCGGAAACGGACGCUAAUACCGCAUAAUGCGGCGGCAUCGCAAGAUGACAGUUGUUAAAGAAUUUAUUCGCUUGAAGAGGAGCUUGCGGCAGAUUAGCUAGUUGGUAAGGUAAUGGCUUACCAAGGCUACGAUCUGUAACCGGUCUAAGAGGACGGUCGGUCACACUGACACUGAAUAACGGGUCAGACUCCUA